rnacentral:rRNA from 1 species
GAUGAACGCUAGCGGCAGGCUUAAUACAUGCAAGUCGAGGGGCAGCAUGAUUGUAGCAAUACAAUUGAUGGCGACCGGCAAACGGGUGCGGAACACGUACACAACCUUCCAACAAGUGGGGGAUAGCCCAGAGAAAUUUGGAUUAAUACCCCGUAACAUAGCGAUGUGGCAUCACAUUGCUAUUAUAGAUUUUUCGCUUGUUGAUGGGUGUGCGGCUGAUUAGAUAGUUGGCGGGGUAACGGCCCACCAAGUCUACGAUCAGUAGCUGAUGUGAGCGCAGUCUCAGCCACACGGGCACUGAGACACGGGCCCGACUCCUACGGGAGGCAGCAGUAAGGAAUAUUGGACAAUGGACGCAAGUCUGAUCCAGCCAUGCCGCGUGAAGGAUUAAGGUCCUCUGGAUUGUAAACUUCUUUUAUAAGGGACGAAAAAAGGCUUUUCUAAGUCGUCUGACGGUACCUUAUGAAUAAGCACCGGCUAACUCCGUGCCAGCAGCCGCCGUAAUAC